UGGCGGCGACCUGCAUAAAAAAGGUGACUCACUCCCGCGAGAUUCCCCCACCCACACCACUCCGCCGCCGUUCGCCUUUGACCGGUUGACCCCAUCCGCGCGCGCGCUCUCUCUCCCUGCUAGAUCUGCCUCGACCCGACGCUCGGGCCGGCGGCGCGAGCCACCCGGCCUCCUCCUCUCCGUCCCGUCGAGCUCCUCUCUCUGACCACGCGCAGCUAGACGGGCCACCGCCGAGCGCACGGUGAGGUUUCUUGGCGGCGACGGGAAGGAGAUGAGCGAGCGGAAGUUGCUUUUGCCGACUCUCUCUCCACUCUAGAUGAAUACCGAACUCUGGACGCCAUCUGGUGAGCCCAGAUCUGUGGGCACCAGCUGGAUCUGAGUUUUUGGGCACAUAUCCUCCUGAGCUCCCCCUCUGCUCCCUUGGUCGGACUCUUCUUCCACCUUCAGCGCAGCUCACUCCAGGCAGGAGAUAGAGAAUACAAUGUUGAGCCGAUUACAACACACAAGUGGGGUGACAUCGCCGUUCUCGUUCGAGAUGUUAAAACAGAUCACUAAUAAUUUUUCGGAGGAGCACAUAAUUGGUCGUGGUGCGUAUGGAGUGGUUUACAAGGGAGUAUUGGACAAUGGGAAAGAGAUUGCUGUGAAGAAGCUUAAAUACAUGCCUCCAGAACAUGACAGCAAUAAACAAUUUGAGAAUGAGUGUACAAACCUUAUGGGGGUCCAACAUCAAAAUAUCGUGCGGUUAGUUGGCUACUGUCAUGAAACACGUCGUGAAUAUGUGGAACACGGUGGAAAAUACGUUUGGGCUGAGGUGGAUGAACGAGUUCUCUGCUUUGAAUACUUGCAGGGUGGAAGCCUUGACAAACAUGUCUCUGACGAACCAUGCAAACUUGAUUGGGACAUGUGCUACAAAAUAAUUAAGGGAGUCUCUGAAGGUUUAAAUCACCUUCAUAAGGACUCCAUUUUCCAUUUUGACUUGAAGCCUGGAAAUAUAUUGCUGGAUAACAACAUGAUGCCGAAAAUUGACGAUUUUGGUUUAUCAAGAUUCUUUCCUUCAGCAGAAACCUGCACCACAGCGACGAAUUUUGGAACAUUGGGGUACAUACCACCAGAACACAUAAUCGGACACCAAAUCUCACCGAAAUAUGAUGUAUUCAGUUUGGGUGUUAUAAUCGUAAUAAUAAUGGCAGGAUUCAGGGGCUACUAUGAAUAUAAAGAUACCGCUUCCUUUGAAUUCAUCAAGCUUGUAUGUGAAAUGUGGCAAAAAAGGGUACAUGCAACGACGUGGUCACACAUAUCACAAGAAGUUAAGACAUGCAUCGAAAUAGCGUUAAGAUGUAUUAAGCAUGAUCGAGAGGAAAGGCCUACUAUAAGCCAAGUUGUUGAUGUACUUAGUAGGAUUGAUGUUGAGAAGUUGUCACUUAAGUGCGAGACCACUAAUUUACAAAGCACGGGGGCCUUGGCCUACAAUGAAUACACGACUUCCUCAUCUUCGAUGGGAGUUCAUGGUGGUCCCACUACGGUUGAAUUCACACCUGGUGAGGUGGGAGAGGAUGAUAGAUCGAUGCAUGAAAGUGACACGGUUGAGCCCAUGAUUUACGAACACGAGCCUAUCAUGAGGUCGGAAGAAAGGCUUCAUACUCCAGUCACCAUGGGUACUAUGGAUACUGUUGGGGUUAUUAGUGGCUUCAAGGAGUGUGAUAAUCUUUUUCAGUGGGCUAGAUCUACCAUUUCCUCCCAGUGGAGUGGUACACAAGAGCAGAGGCUUCAUGAGGAAUUGUUUCGAUUGGGGAAUGGCCUACAAUGCCUUAGGGAUACUCUUCCCGCCAUGUAUGAUCUCAUUGAUCGAGCAGAGUGGAAGAUCCACAAUCCUCGUGUGGCAGAGCUCCUUUCAACACUCAAAGAUGCAGUGUAUGAUGCCGAUGACCUUCUUGAUGAGUUCAGAUGGUACAUGUUGAAGGUAAAAGUGGACGGAAAUGGAAGCCAAUCUCCUUUCAUGGACUUCUUCAAUAAUGUUGUUAAAGGAAGCUUUAUCAAAGUGGUUGCUAUGCGGGAAAGGCUGGAUAAUAUUUCCAUUCACCUUCGUAGUAUGGGGUUACAUGAAGUCACAACACGGUUUGACAAAUCAGUCAGGCCAGAGACUAGCUCUUUCCCAAAUGAAACAAAAAUCUUUGGUCGUGACAUGGAGCUAAAGCAUAUAAUUGAAUUGCUUUGUGCACCAAUAAAUAGUAGUGAUGCUCAUCCCAAACGCCAGAAAGGAAAUACUGCAGAACAUCAGCAAGAAACCAAAUUGGUAAUGAAUCAAGAAUAUCAGAUCUUCCUGUUUUACCCAUAGUUGGAAUUGGGGGUGUUGGAAAGACCACUCUGGCUCAACAUAUAUGUAGUCAUAAACAAGUGGAGUCUCAUUUUGACAUAAUAAUUUGGGUUUGCGUCUCAGAUGACUUUGACGUGAAGAGGUUAACUAAAGAGGUCACAGUCUUGUCCUGAAAAAUAUGCAACAACUGAAAAUUUGAAUUUGCUUCAGAAGAACUUUUCUGAGAUUGCAAGAACUAAAAAGUUAUUGAUUGUUCUGGAUGAUAUGUGGGAUGAUGUUUUGAAGGAAAAUGGGCAGUGCUGGAACAGGUUUUGUGCACCUUUAAAGAAUGUACUACCGGGAAGUAUGAUGUUGGUCACUACUAGAAGUCCACAGGUUGCUGACAGAGUGGGCACGAUGGAUCCCAUUACAUUGGAAGGUUUAAAGGAUGAUGUUUUUUGGAAUUUUUUCAAAUUAUGUGUUUUUGAAUCUGGGAGUUCCAAUAAUAAUAAUUUGGAAAGCAUUGGUAGAAGGAUAGUUCCUAAGUUGAAGGGUUCUCCUUUAGCCGCCAAAACUCUUGGACGAAUAUUAAGAAUGAACCUUCAAGUAGUACAUUGGAAUGAUGUACUAGAGAGUGAAUUGUGGAAGUUGAGCCAGGAAGAGACUGAAAUCUUGCCAGCCCUUCGGUUGAGCUACAUGUAUUUACCAUUUCAUUUGAAGAGGUGCUUCUCAUUUUGUGCAGUGUAUCCCAAAGAUUACAAAUUUCGGAAGGACCAUUUAGCUGAAAUUUGGGUGGCAGAAGGCUUUGUUGAACCUCGUGGUGAUACUCCACUUCAAGAUAUUGGAUGUGAAUACUUCAAUGACCUUUUAAAUCGGUCCUUCUUUCAAGAAGUACAAGGUGGAUACUUAAUUCAUGACUUGCUGCAUGACAUGGCACAGAAAGUUUCAGAGCAUGAGUGCUUCAUCAUGAAAAGAAAGAGUGACUUUAAAGAUAUUCCUCCUAAUGUUCGCCAUUUGUCAAUACUCUCUAGCACAGACAUUGAAAAUGCCAGCUUGUUGAGGCUAUGCCACUUCAGAAAGCUUCGUACGCUUCUUUUUGACAAGCCUUUAGCAAAUAAAAAUAUUCCAACUAGCAUUUUGGAAAAAUGGUGGAGUGAACUUCUGUGUCUACGUGUGAUUGUUUGCGUUGCUACUAAUGAGUUACCAGCUGCUAUUGGAAACUUGAAGCAUCUUCGGUACCUUCAAAUCUUGAGAGCUUCACAUUUCAAGAGUCUUCCCGCUGAGUUCUGUCGGCUGUAUAAUCUGCAGAUUUUAAGUGUUCAGGAAUGCAAGCUAGAAAGCUUGCCUAGUGACUUUAGUAAUCUGAUAUGCUUACAGAGAUUUGAAUCGUAUGGAUUUCAAUGUAGUUCAGUGUUGAGAAGUUGCCCUGAAGAACUUUAUUUUGAAGUGAGUGUUGAUGCAGCCAAUGAUGGACAGGAACGAGGAUUUAGGUUGAUGAAGAAUAUUAACCAAGUUGGUGAAUUGGAUAUAUAUAAUAUUGACAAGCUAAGUAAGGAGCAUGCUGCAGAAGCCCAACUACAGAAUAAGAAGUAUCUUAAGAUUCUGAAACUGUCAUGGUCAUGGCCUCUGUGGAGUUCUCCGGAAGACAGUAUAGACGUCCUUCGAGUUCUACAACCUCCCACCUGCCUCAAGUCUCUGCUCCUCCGUGGUUAUCCAGGUGUAUUGCUUCCAGGGUGGUUGCCGACUGAGAUUUCGCCAAGCUUAAGGUCACCUUUAUUUAUCAGUUGUGGACUUGAGAGCUCAUUGGCAUCCACUAACCCAGAGCGUAUAAACCCAAGUGAGAUACCGGAGGUGCUUACUAACAACAUUAAUGAUAUUACUGGUAUUUUCUCAUCCCUGUCGGACCUACUCAUUGAUAAUUGCCAAAAUUUAUCAUGCCUCGAACAUGUUGUACAUGCAACGACAAUCAAGAAAAUCACAAUUAAAGAUUGCAACAACUUAGUUUCAGUACCAGCUGAAAGAUUUGGGGAUCUAUGUUGCCUUGAAGAAUUGAAGGUGCAAGGAUGUCCAAAUAUAUCUGUGCAAAUUUUGGUUGCACCUUCUCUCAAGAGGCUUGUGCUGGGUAAGGAGAGUGAUUUUAGUUAUGAUGACCCUAGUUGUGGCAAUCUCGCAGACAAUAUAGACUGUUGCACCCUCACAUACUUUUUUUUGUCAAGCAACCAUCUCACAUCCAUCCAACUAGAAAUGUGGAAUCUUCCAGCAUUGAAGGAGUUGAAUAUUUCACAUUGUCGAUUUCUUGAAUCUAUCAUUGGACAAUCUGGACAGGUCAUCAGAAACACUGGUGGAUCUAGAGCAUUCCCAUAUCUUACUUCACUAACAAUUGAACGGUGUUACAAGCUGUCAACCAUUGAUGAUCUCCUAUCAGAAGAAUAUCUACCUGCCAUUGAGAGAGUUUGUAUCAGAUCUUGUGGCAGAUUAAAGUCCUUGCAGGGUGAAAGGUUUGGGAAUUUUUCUUAUCUGAAGGAUUUGGAGAUCUCUGAUUGCAGUAGACUCAGCUGGAAGAAGGGAUUUCUGUUACCAUCUUCCCUCCAAAGACUCACCUUAUAUAAAUGCGGGAAUAUCUCUGCAUGGGUUCCCAGCUGCCUACAAAACCUUACAUCCCUUGUUACAUUGAGGAUUGAUGCAUGUCGGCACAUAACAUCCAUUCCAGGCAGGCUUUGGAGCACUAGUCUCACAUCACUUGAGAAUUUAUCGAUUUCAUAUUGUCCAGACAUUGUAUCAAUUGGAGGAGAAAACGCAAUUUCAGAAAUACAGAAUGUACAGAUUAAACACUGUCAUAAGAUGGAGGAUUUAAAGCAGCCCUUGGAAAGAGGCAAUCGGUUCUCAUGCAUCUCGAGAGUGGAGCCAGUCUUCCUUUAUGCACCACACUGGGAAGCAUCAUACUCUUCAGUGGAGAUUGCUUGUUGCAGCACAUGGGAAUCAGUUUCAGAAAUGACAUUUUGACACCCCAAGUCACUUGCUCUUUCAAUUGCUCCGAUGAGGGCUAGGCUUUCUGCAUGGAGAGCAUCCAUGAUAUGCGUCAACCUCCCCGCUCUUGCUGCCUCUGCAAAUCCCUCUGGAUUGCGAAUGAUGUAGCCCCAGCCUCCUGUGUGAUCUUCUUCCUUAAAAGCUGCAUCAACAUUAAUUUUCAGGUAACUUGAUGGCGGUGGAGUCCAUUUUUGCUGUGAUGUUGUGGUUUUUCCUGUGCACAUGUCUUUCUUUACUAUCCUUUACAUUACUGACCAAUUCUUUCUUGUUCACUGGGCACAAAGUUCUGAGCUUUUAGCAGAAUCAAUGUUACGCCAUAGCAGAUCCUCCUUAUCACUCGAGUUUUACUCUAUCCAUUAUUCUGUCCGCAGUCCAUGUAAUAUCCAGUCUCCCCAUUUCGUCAUACAAUAUUUUGCGCUUUCUAUUCCAUGUGAAAUAAAUGAGGCAAAACAUCUAUGCUAUUGUACCUUCUAUGGCGUAUGUGUGCCAUUAAUUUGAUUUUUCUCAGUCAGCUGUUAAGAACAAUCUUUAUCAGGAUAUUCUCUUCCUGUGAGGAGUUGAUAGUAGAUGUUAUCCCGUUAAUGCUGUAGCAGUUUAAUGUCUGAAGAAAUUCUUGAUGCCUGA